rnacentral:rRNA from 1 species
CUACGGGUUGCACCAGUGGGGAAUAUUGCACAAUGGGCGCAAGCCUGAUGCAGCCAUGCCGCGUGUAUGAAGAAGGCCUUCGGGUUGUAAAGUACUUUCAGCGGGGAGGAAGGGAGUAAAGUUAAUACCUUUGCUCAUUGACGUUACCCGCAGAAGAAGCACCGGCUAACUCCGUGCCAGCAGCCGCGGUAAUACGGAGGGUGCAAGCGUUAAUCGGAAUUACUGGGCGUAAAGCGCACGCAGGCGGUUUGUUAAGUCAGAUGGGAAAUCCCCGGGCUCAACCUGGGAACUGCAUCUGAUACUGGCAAGCUUGAGUCUCGUAGAGGGGGGUAGAAUUCCAGGUGUAGCGGUGAAAUGCGUAGAGAUCUGGAGGAAUACCGGUGGCGAAGGCGGCCCCCUGGACGAAGACUGACGCUCAGGUGCGAAAGCGUGGGGAGCAAACAGGAUUAGAUACCCGCGUAGUC